rnacentral:rRNA from 1 species
CCCAACACAUGCAAGUCGAACGGUAACAGGAAGAAGCUUGCUUCUUUGCUGACGAGUGGCGGACGGGUGAGUAAUGUCUGGGAAACUGCCUGAUGGAGGGGGAUAACUACUGGAAACGGUAGCUAAUACCGCAUAACGUCGCAAGACCAAAAAGGGGGACCUUCGGGCCUCUUGCCAUCGGAUGUGCCCAGAUGGGAUUAGCUAGUAGGUGGGGUAACGGCUCACCUAGGCGACGAUCCCUAGCUGGUCUGAGAGGAUGACCAGCCACACUGGAACUGAGACACGGUCCAGACUCCUACGGGAGGCAGCAGUGGGGAAUAUUGCACAAUGGGCGCAAGCCUGAUGCAGCCAUGCCGCGUGUAUGAAGAAGGCCUUCGGGUUGUAAAGUACUUUCAGCGGGGAGGAAGGGAGUAAAGUUAAUACCUUUGCUCAUUGACGUUACCCGCAGAAGAAGCACCGGCUAACUCCGUGCCAGCAGCCGCGGUAAUACGGAGGGUGCAAGCGUUAAUCGGAAUUACUGGGCGUAAAGCGCACGCAGGCGGUUUGUUAAGUCAGAUGUGAAAUCCCCGGGCUCAACCUGGGAACUGCAUCUGAUACUGGCAAGCUUGAGUCUCGUAGAGGGGGGUAGAAUUCCAGGUGUAGCGGUGAAAUGCGUAGAGAUCUGGAGGAAUACCGGUGGCGAAGGCGGCCCCCUGGACGAAGACUGACGCUCAGGUGCGAAAGCGUGGGGAGCAAACAGG